rnacentral:rRNA from 1 species
UGAGGAAUAUUGGUCAAUGGACGCAAGUCUGAACCAGCCAUGCCGCGUGCAGGAUGACGGCUCUAUGAGUUGUAAACUGCUUUUGUACGAGGGUAAACGCAGAUACGUGUAUCUGUCUGAAAGUAUCGUACGAAUAAGGAUCGGCUAACUCCGUGCCAGCAGCCGCGGUAAUACGGAGGAUUCAAGCGUUAUCCGGAUUUAUUGGGUUUAAAGGGUGCGUAGGCGGUUUGAUAAGUUAGAGGUGAAAUUUCGGGGCUCAACCCUGAACGUGCCUCUAAUACUGUUGAGCUAGAGAGUAGUUGCGGUAGGCGGAAUGUAUGGUGUAGCGGUGAAAUGCUUAGAGAUCAUACAGAACACCGAUUGCGAAGGCAGCUUACCAAACUAUAUCUGACGUUGAGGCACGAAAGCGUGGGGAGCAAACAGGACUAGAUACCCUGGUAGUCCACGCAGUAAACGAUGAUAACUCGUUGUCGGCGAUACACAGUCGGUGACUAAGCGAAAGCGAUAAGUUAUCCACCUGGGGAGUACGCCGGCAACGGUGAAACUCAAAGGAAUUGACGGGGGCCCGCACAAGCGGAGGAACAUGUGGUUUAAUUCGAUGAUACGCGAGGAACCUUACCCGGGCUUGAAAGUUAGCGACGAUUCUUGAAAGAGGAUUUCCCUUCGGGGCGCGAAACUAGGUGCUGCAUGGUUGUCGUCAGCUCGUGCCGUGAGGUGUCGGGUUAAGUCCCAUAACGAGCGCAACCCCUACCGUUAGUUGCCAUCAGGUGAAGCUGGGCACUCUGGCGGGACUGCCGGUGUAAGCCGAGAGGAAGGUGGGGAUGACGUCAAAUCAGCACGGCCCUUACGUCCGGGGCUACACACGUGUUACAAUGGUAGGUACAGAGGGCAGCUACCCAGCGAUGGGAUGCGAAUCUCGAAAGCCUAUCUCAGUUCGGAUUGGAGGCUGAAACCCGCCUCCAUGAAGUUGGAUUCGCUAGUAAUCGCGCAUCAGCCAUGGCGCGGUGAAUACGUUCCC